UGGAAGCAAAUUUGAUGAGAAUAC
rnacentral:siRNA from 1 species